GGCGGACGGCGCGCACGGCGGCUCUCAGUCUCCUCUGAAUAUUAAGCAAAGUACCUCAACUGCAGCCUGAGAGAAGGGGAAGGCAACCUACAAAAUGUUUGCUCCGAUCUGAGCCCGGGAGCAUUUUGCAACUUUCACGUGCUUUUCUAAAUAUACAUCCCACCGGCUCAGCUGAAUGAAGGCUUCCCAGGCAAGGACAGUUGUAUGAAGAUCUAAUAGGCGUCAAUUAACAAUAGCUGGCCUCUAGUUGAUGACAUGUAUAAAUCAACUUGCCACGGACGUCCUUGCGGUUGUGUGGUCUUUAACUUAAUCACAUCUGCAAAGUCCUUUUUAUUGUGCAAGAUCACACAGUCACUGGCUCUGGGGGAUCAGGACAUGGACAUGUUGGACGGGAUGUUAUUCAGCCCACCACAAGGACCCUGAAGCUUAAACUCCGUUCCCUGCAGGUAAAUCUGUCUCUUCCUCCUCAUUACCGAAAUCUAGUUGGUGCUGAGUUCUGAUUGUGAGGGUUCCAAUGGGAGGGAAUACCUGUGAUUACAACUGAGACGAGUGCUAUGGAGGAAAAGAGAAGAGAUGCUAUGAAGGUAAAGAAUAUUCCAAAAUAGGGGACCUCAUCUAAAUGGAAGGGCAGCAGUGUCUUUGAGUGAGGAAUACCAGUACAUCUGAGAUGGCAAAGGACGAGGAGCGAAUUAUGCCAUGGACAAGGGUGAUGUUCCAGACCGAGGAGGCAAUCUGUGUGGCCUGGGAAAUGGCGAUGUCAGAAGGUCAGUGCAGCCAAGCUGGAUCCCUGCCAUUAAAUCCUUAGCACUCACCACCAUGAACGGCACAUAGUAGGUGAUCAGUAGUUCUCAACGCU